CUGUAGACAUUCACCCAUCAACCGCUUCAAGUGGCGAGUAAUGGACACAUUUUACUUGGAAUGGAAAUGGAUGCUGGAUGUGAAGUGGAAACUUGAAGUUGGAGAAGAUGCUGAUAGGAUGAUUUAGUUAAAUGGUUAAAUUGCUCCAUGCCUGGAAUAGUGGUCACCACCACUACGGUUGUUAUUGCUGGAUGGUGAAUUGGACAAUCCAUGGUACCAUCAGAUUGCCUGGUUUUUGUUAGAUGUGGUUGAGCUUCCUACUGCUUCAGCUUGGGAGAUUUAACUCAAUUUUAAUAGUGGUUUGGGGUAUGUGGCAGUCGUGGUAUAAGGACAAAGUUUCCUUGGGUGCCAUUCGUAUUCUUGGACAAGUCGUAAGUAAAAAUUUUUGUCACAACUUAUGGCGCGCGGUAUCUCCAGCCGUUGUUCUAUACACGUGCUGGUCGACUAGUGCCUACAUUACACUGGAAGUGUUUGCAUCGUUGGACUGUAAUGGGCAUAUUCCAUGCUGUCCUGGAAUAAACCUCCAAUAAUUUUUGCAUUUGCCCAGUUCUUUGUCCGUAAUUUAACCUUUGGUCUCAUAUUUCUAGGUUUUUUUUGCUGAACUCGGUUAGAAGGUGACAUUGCUAUCGUCGGUGAGCAUUCUUUUUUUGGUGUUUUUCUACUUAUUGCAAAUGAUGUGUUUAGUCAUCCGUGUUUCACCUGAAUUUAUGAUUAUAAUCUUUGACUCUGAUGAUAAAUGGGAGGGAUAUUUUGAAUAGGGCUUCUUCAGUGGCUAACAUCUUAUAAUUUUCUAGGUGAUUCGAUGUGCAUUUCUUACUUCGGUCAUUUGUGCAAUCGUCAGACUUGAUUGGGGUUCCAGAAAUUACUGGUAAUCGUUUGCUGGUUGCUUUCAUGUUUUCCGUACAACGUUGAGUUGAACGGUAUCUGGGGGCACGUAUGAAGAAAAUAUCCUUCGAUAAUUGUUUGAAAAUGAAACGCCUUGUAUGCGUCAAGUUACGAAUACAAAAUUGAGGUUAAAUUUGGAA